UUAAACUAAAAGCUUCAACAAAAGUCACAAAACGUGACUGCAGCUCCUAUUGAACAACAGUCGAAAAAUAAAAGUAAAACCUAACCUAAAAUGUUCAGAAAAACACGAAAAUUUACAGAGCUGUACUAGACACACAGAGAGUCUAGCACACUAAAUUUGAGAUAAAUCGGAGUUGAUUUGAUAGGGAAAUAAAAUACAGGAAUAUGACGAACAGGAGAUAAGAAAACUGAAAACUGAUUUCAAAGUAAUUGAAAAUCAAGAUAAUGAGACUAGCUAGGGAGGAAGUAUCCACCCCCGACAAUCACACACAACACACUUUGUCCAAUUUGUGACCAACUAACUCAAUUGAAGAUGCUCAGAUUGACUCGGUACGCUUGAGCAUAAUCUAUUACUCUUUCUUACUUUGUACGUUAGGCAGGAAGUGCUCUACACCUAAACUAUUCUCAAACAUUGUAACCUAAAGGUACGUUUAUUAGGUUAAACAAGCAGAGAUCAAUAAACAUGAAAAGAGUUUGAGCAAUCACUAGGCAUCGCAAUAAACUUAGCGCCUUGCUAAACCUAAGGUUUCGUCUACUCGCUAGUGAAAACUACCGAUUACUUCUCUAGACAAUUUGAGGGAUCCGAUAUUGACCCAGGCAUCAAAUAAUCAAAGUAUUAGAACCCUAGCAUGUAUACUAAGUAGGCCUCCAAAGCACACACACAAAGAAUUCAUCGAUGAACAAUCGGUAAACAAAACCUCAAUCUUAUUAAUUGCAAAAACAAAUUGAAAAUCAAAGCAUGUUAUGAAUCAUGUCUAGGGGCUUCAACAACCCCCUAGCUACUAUGAGUUUAGUUGCGCAUAAUGAAAAUUAAAAACACAAAAGAGUUCAUGGAAGGGGAAGACAACAAUAACCGAGCUUGGAGAAUCCUUGAGAAGAGAUCAAUCUUGUUCCGUCCGAUUCUUGUGUUCUUUUCUUCCCGACUUCUCCUUUUUCUUCGUUUCCUCUCGUGUAUCAAAUGAUAUUAGGUUAGAGAACCCUCAAUUUCCGUCCAUGGGCCAGCUGAUUUGGAUUGGGCCUUGAAAUUGAAGUUACGGUCCAAAUCAGAAAUUCGGGCAGACUGACCUUCGGCCACUAAAAUGAUCAUAACUUCUUCUACAAAAUAGGUAUUGACGAUCCGUAAAAAGUUCUAAAAAGUAGACUCUUGUAGCUUUCUAUUGAUAUAUAACUCAUUGUCUGGAUCGUUGUGAGCUGAUCACAAUCCUCUGUCGAAGUUAGAUGAUAAUUUCUGGCAAAUCCCAUAAUUCUUUCCUUACACGACAUGAAUUCCUAAUUCUUCAAGAUUUCUCCUCUUUUGCUUCAUAUUCCUUUCUUUGCUCCGAAACACCUAAUAAACAUAAAAAUAACUAAAUCAAAUGGAAAAUACGAUAAACUAAUAAAGUAAAGAGGGGAAUUAACCAUCAUAUCGUCGCAUAAUUAUGCUCCUAUCAAAACUUAAUACGUACGUACACAGCCAGCAAAACCUCAAAGAAGAUG
rnacentral:lncRNA from 1 species